rnacentral:lncRNA from 1 species
GUGUGUGUGUGCUUGCGCACGUAUGUAAAUGGACUGUCUGUGGCUCCUGAAAAAGAAAUUCUGUUGCUGGAUUUGCUGACUCACUGCCAAACUCUGCUGUGCAGGCGAGGAGCAGAUUCUGAGUUAUUCAAGCCAAACAUUUGGCCCUCUUGGUUUAUUGGCUACUGUGACAGACUUCUCCUCACACCUCACCUCCUUGCUGGCGGGUGGACAUAUCAAGCGUUUUGUUCAUUUUGCCUCCUGAUCUCCUCCUAUUUCUUCCAAUUACUCCUUAACGUUUCACACAUUUGUACCAGUACCACCCCAGCUCCCUACUGCACAGCGGCAGGAAUAGCCAGACGCUUCCUUCCUGAGGUCGAGGCAGGAAUUCACCGUCUCCUUCCGAAGUCUCCCUGGGCAUGUGCUCGCCCGCUUGCUCCCAAGCUGUCAGGAGGCGUCCUCUGGGAGGAGCUCGGCUCGCCUCGUUUGUUCCCAGGCCCUCAGAAUAGCCUCGUGUUUCCUCUCUGCACCCAAGGUCCAAUUACCUUCUUGGCACUGUCAUCCCGCACCUGAAAGACCUCUAUUUUUCCUCAGUUUGAGAAAGAAGUGUGCUUUGUCAUUUGGAUUUGGGAAGGUGAGCUCAGGAUGGAAUGCUGCUGCAAUGCUAGGAUUUUGGCUGCCUCGGAAGUUACGGAGAGAAGAAUUCUUUCUAAUACUACAAGUAGAUCGAUGUCCAGCACCUGUUCUUUCUCUGUGCCUGGAACACCCACUGAAGCCAGGAGGAGCUGGGAUUGGGAUGUGGGAACGGUUGGACGAAGGCCUUUGUCUGCUAAUUUGAGUUUCAUUCUAUCAUUUCACUCCAAAGCUGAUUCUGAAAAAUGAGUGCAUUUAUAAAGGUAUUAAUGACAGAUUUCUCUUCUGAUCAUAAUGAUUAAGUUGUUGGUACUGCCUAAUGAGGGCAGCCUCCUUCACAAAGCCCUGAACAGUUUUGCUUUACCAUUUGACUACACUGACAUGGUUUGACUGGCUAUGCCGGAGGAGUUGCUGCUGAUUUUUCCUUCUGCUCUCUGUUGAUUUAAAUUUACACAGAAAACAGAGAGUGAAAAAUAUUCUAAACCAUAAAGUCAUUCUUUAGUUAAGGAACAAUAACUCAUCUUUCCUUUUAUUAGACGGAGUUUAUGAUCAAAGUGUCACAGUUGCUUUUUUUCUUUUUUGGUUGGGAACCGAACUCAUGACCUUGCGCUUGCCAGGCAGGCGCUUUUGCCGCUGAGCUAAAUUCCCAGCCCUUCUUUUUGUCUUUUUGAGACAAGGCCUCACUUCACAGUUCAGGCUGGUCUUAAGCUCACUUUGUAGCUGAGGUUGGCCUUGAUCUUGCAGUGAUCCUCCUGCCUCAGCCUCCUGAGUGCUGGGAUUAAGGCGUAUACCACCAUGCCCUGCAGUUUUUUCCACAUUUUUUCCUUUUCCGACCCGAGUGCUCAUGAUGCAGUCACUCAUUACUGUCUUAAGUUCUUGAGUACUUUCAUCCUCCCCAUUGUAUUUACUGCAAAAUUGUCCCAUAUCUCUGUAGAUGAGCUCCACCCCAUUUCCAGGAUCCCAGUUCACUCCUGGCCUCAUUGCAGGGGGCAGAUCAGAGAGGAGACCCUGGAGAAAGACUGCCCAGUUUUGAGCCACAGUGCUGCCAUUUACUAGCUGUGGGACCUUGGGUAAACAACUGACCCCACAAAGCUUUUGUUUCUUCAUGUGAGAAUGAAAAUCAUAGUAGCAUCUACCUCCUAGGUUGAUGGUGAAGAUCAAAAUAAUCCUGAGAUGCUAAAAGUACUCAAAAGAUGGUAGUUUUAUUACGAGAAAGAGAAAAGCAGUCCUCCAGUGUCCAGAGCUGGACUGACCUAGAGUAGACUCGGCAUUCUCCUGUUGAAAUAAAACAUUUUCAUGGAACAUUGCCAUCAGACAAGGCCACUCCGUGAUGAUGAAGAUUAAGAAAGAAACAAGACUACUGCACAAUCAUGUUUGAACAUACAUAAAAUAGGGACAUUGUCCAUUCCACAAAAAUGACCAGGCAUCCCUUUAUUCUGGCUAACAGGAGUUACUUCUGAUUUUUUACCAAUGACAUUUUUCCUCUUCCUAGGUGAGAGUUAUUAAGUCAUAGAAAUAACCCCAUUUCUUGAUAGCAUUCAAUCAAGACCACGCCCACGUCCCUCAGCACACUCUCAAAUCAUCUACCAGAGUUCAUUGCAUAAGUGCUUUUAUACACUUUCUCAUUGAGACAGUCCAGGGUUCCUCUCUGCAACACAUAAGAAACCCAGCUUUUCAAUUACGGGUGUAUUUCUGGUGGUCUCCAGCUGGAGGACACUGACCAUUACUCCUUUUCAUGAGCCCAAAUCACAGGAUUUAAAGUCAUAACAUAGAGCAAUGCAAAGGACGCUUUGCAAACUUGGGUAAGUCAUUUGAUGUCUCUGUUGGUUUUCUCACUGAUUAAAAUUAGGAGAUUUGGCUCAUGAAUUCCAUAGUGAUCAGCGUCACCAAACUGUGAGCCACUGUGACAGACACAGCAACUUUGUGAGUGCCGCGGAACAAGAAUAAUGAACACGGACAUCGUUUUUGCUUUGUUUUGUUUUUGUCGAUGUUGUUAUUUCUCUUUAAAACUCUCUUUAAAAUAAAAAAGAAAGAAAGAAAGAAAGUGAACAUGGGAACGUCCUCAGAUUCUUGUUGCCUAAUCCAUCAAGAAGAAUUCUGUAAUUACCAACCUAAUCUCUCCUCUCCUCUGUCCUCUUGAUGAAGAGGAGCUUGGUCUUCAUGGGAGACUGGGAGUAUGUUGACAGUGGAGAGAGGAGAGGAAGGAAGGAAAACCACACAGCCCGGGGGUGGGGAAGGGAUUCUCUGGGGACGCAUAGGGUGCUAGAGAAAGACAUUAAGACAGAGAGGAGCAGAUGAAGGGAAAGAAGAAAGUUCUGUGUAGAUCACAUGUUUGUGUUCCCUUUGCUGCUUUUGGAAAGAAGCAAGGAAAUAAUAGGAUGGCCGCUGAGCAACCUGAAUUGUUGAAUUGUACUUCCUGAAAGGAGCACUAAUGCAAUAUUGCCACAUGUGAGCCUCCAAGUUGAUUAGGAUUUGGGUAAUGUGUUUCUUAUAUAGUCAGAAAAGCCACCAAGGAAGGGGGAUUCUUUAUCUUGGAAGGCUUUCCAUUUUAGAGUUAAUAUUGAGAAUAAGUAACUUUUUCUUAAAUAUUUCUGUGGACCCAGGGUUUCACUAUACACAGCUGCUCCCAAUGUCCAAUAUGAAGGACCCCGUAGGGUUAGCGCCUGUGUGGUGGAAAUGAGAAUAUGCUUAAAUGGGGCUGAGGGACACGGCAGAAAUGAGUGUCAUUAGUUCAAAGGUUCUGGAGGCUUAGUUAAUUAAUUUGUAUAGAUACCCAAUGAAGCCAGUGUUUGUCCGAUCCCAGAAGGAGGGACACCAAGCAUUCUGGCACAUGCCUGUGACUGUGGGGCUUCCCUGAAUGUCAGUCUUCUGAUGCUAUAACAAGGACAUUCCUUGGGGAACUGGGAUUACUGUAGUAGUCCACUUCCUUCACAGCUUCAAUCUGCUUUUUGUAUUCUGUUACAGACAAAGUGCUUCCUUCUACCACACCUCGUGCACCAGAUCACUGCUAAAUAAUGCAGUUCUAGAACUGGAAGAGAUCUUAGGCACCGUGAAGUCAUCUACUGCUUCCCAGCAAGUCUCAAUUGGAUGGUCUGUUCAGAUCAUUGCCAGACAGGUAAUCCUUACUGUUUGCUAUUUGAAUUUCUUUUCUCUUCCACAGUUUCCUUCUAUUUUCUUACAUAUCAUUGUGCAGUUAAAGGAGAGGUAUAGCUGCCCAAGUUUUGCGGGGGAAUGAUGAGGGUGUCCUAGAGUGUAAAAUUGAAGAGCUCUUAAUAUGAACAGAAACCAUGGCCUGGGGUAGGGGAAGACUACUGCUUUGUGUUGGGAAAUUUAAAUAAAAAAUUUCUGGCAAAUAUGAGCAGAAAGUGAGAGUUCAGUGUUUAGAGGAGUCCCCCAAACUGCUCUUAGG